UACGGGGUGCAGCAGGCGCGAAAACUUUACAAUGCUGGCAACAGCGAUAAGGGAACCUCGAGUGCCAGGUUACAAAUCUGGCUGUCGAGAUGCCUAAAAAGCAUUUCAUAGCAAGGGCCGGGCAAGACCGGUGCCAGCCGCCGCGGUAACACCGGCGGCUCGAGUGGUAACCGUUAUUAUUGGGUCUAAAGGGUCUGUAGCCGGCCGGAUAAGUCUCUUGAGAAAUCUGGCAGCUUAACUGUCAGGCUUUCAGGAGAUACUGUCUGGCUCGAGGCCGAGAGAGGUGAGAGGUACUUCAGGGGUAGGGGUGAAAUCUUGUGAUCCUUGAAGGACCACCAGUGGCGAAGGCGUCUCACCAGAACGGACCUGACGGCAAGGGACGAAAGCUAGGGGCACGAACCGGAUUAGAUACCCGGGUAGUCCUAGCCGUAAACGAUACUCGCUAGGUGUCGGCCACGGUGCGACCGUUGUCGGUGCCGUAGGGAAGCCGUGAAGCGAGCCGCCUGGGAAGUACGGCCGCAAGGCUGAAACUUAAAGGAAUUGGCGGGGGAGCACCACAACGGGUGGAGCUUGCGGUUUAAUUGGAUUCAACGCCGGAAAUCUUA
rnacentral:rRNA from 1 species